GCUGUGAAAUGCUGGCUUCUGAACGUGGCAGGCCACUGUACCAGUGAAUGCACUGCACCUAUAGUUAUGGUUACCUGCCUGAGACCAAGCCAACAAGAACAGUCAGUAUUCCAGGAGACAGCACGAAUCACAAAAAAGUAAAAGGAAAAGCUGAGAGAGUUUGUAGUUUAGGUAAUAUGUUGAGGGUGUUGAAUGUGGGAGGGGAGUUAGGGAUGGACAUGAUUAUGAUAUAUUGUACACAUAUGUGAAAUUAUCAAAGAGUAACUAGAUUAAAACCAGCCAAUAGGGGCUGGAGAGAUGGCUCAGAGGUUAAGAGCACUGACUGCUCUUCCAGAGGUCCUGAGUUCAAAUCCCAGCAACCACAUGGUGGCUCACAACCAUCUGUAAUGGGAUCUGAUGCCACCUUCCGGUGUGUCUGAAGACAGCUACAGUAUACUUACAUAAAAUAAAAUAAAUAAAUCUAAAAAAAAAAACAAAAAAAAAACAGCCAAUAGGAGACCGAAGAGCCAGCCCCAAGGUUGAGAGCUUUCUGCUCUUCCUGAGUUCAGUUCCCAGCACCGGGUAGGUGUCCACAGUUGCCUGUAACUCCAGAUCCAGAGGAAUCUGACGCCCUCUCCUGGCCUCCACAGGCACCUACACUCAUGUGCGUGCAUGCACACAUAUAUGCGCGCGCACAUGUAAAAAUAAAUUUAAAAAUAUCAAUAAAUAAGUAAUAAAAAUAAGUCAUACGUAUUCUCACAUGACUCAAAAAUACUAGACUGCAACUAUUAUGAGGAUGUGUUAAUAUGCAAUUUUAUGUGUGAAAACAUGUAAUGUAAGUGUACAUUAAAAUGUAUGCACACAGAAACCAUUGAGAGCUGAUAGAGGGAAUGUGGGAUCCAGCACUGCCAGCAAGGAGGCCACCCCGCCCACGCAUAAAUAACUUCGAGCCGUGCGCUGUCGGAGACAACGAGGCUGUUCAGUUUCAAAACCAAGACUUACAGUCCCACUCUCUGGCCCUGGCUGGGCCUCACGUGUUCUCCUCUUGCUCCUAAGGCCUGGCUAGGAUGUGAACCUAGGACCUCACGCAUGCGUGUGUGGCAAGUGCUCUGCAGUGCCAGUCCCUCGUUCCUUUUAAACAGCUUCCUUUUGGUCCCCCAUGAGCAGCAGAGUGUGGAGUUAUGCGCGUGGAGUUGUGCGCCAUGUCGCUUCUCAGGAACACGUGCACCGAUUGUAACCACCCGGGAAGAAAGAUGAGCAUGGUGCGUUUUCUAGACAACCAAUACCACAAAUAAGGACUCUGAGGCUUUCUUCAGUCUUGAAGCCAAGUCAGUUCCAUGCUUGGAUAAGGAGAUGUUACAUAUAUUCUGUUGAAUAAGAUGUCUCCUCUCCACCCAAUGCUUACAAGUCACCUCCCUCCUUAACCCUGGUGGUGCUCCCCCUGCUGGAGUGAAGGAGACUUGCACAAUUGCAGCUGUUUUUACAUUUAUUUGUUUGCGUGUGCACAUAUGUGUAUGUUUGUGUGUGUGAGUGCUGUGUGUGUUUGUGUUUGUGUGUCCGUUUGUGUGUGUCUCUGUAUGUUUGUGUGUGAGAGUGUAUGUGUGAGUGUGAGUGUGUGUGUGUGUGUGUGUGUGUCCCCUACCACCACUGCUCUUCCUGUCUCAGAGACUUCUUAGCAGGAAGCUGGCUUGGCCCUGGUUGGUGGGGCUGAUGGUUCCAGCUUUCAACCCUGUGAGCGAGCUCCUGGAGGGUAGUGCUGGUGGCACCUUGGCUGAAGAUGUCAUAAGCACAGUGCCACAGCUUCUGUCGCCUGAGCAGGAUCCUGAGGCAGAGGGACCAGCGCUGAGCACACCUGCUUCCCAGGUAUUCCCCGCCUCGCUUGGGCAUGCUGUCACCCUCUCUGGCUUCACAGUCCUCAUCUAUAUUAGAGAUACUAUACUCGCUACCCUUCGUCCUCCUAGGAAUUCUGGGUGCGCUGCAUGCCUGGACACUGGAGCAGCCCUGCACCCAUGGGCGCACCCUGUCUGCCGUAUUUCCCAAACAGCAUCUCUUCCCCCCCCCCUCCCUUAUUAGUCUGCACUUUUGAACAGGGAAAUUCAAAGGUAAAGGGGAACAUUCAGUCUGUGCUUAAAGCUAAGGGGGACUGCCUCCUACUGCAUGUCCCUUACUUAAUUUCACAGAGCUCUGUGGCCAGGAACAGAGCUCUCAGCCUCGAACUUAGACGUGGGAGAAUUUUUUUGUUGUUGUCGAACUGCUUCCAUGUCUGUCUCUGCGCGUGGGCGGGAGGGCGGCGCUCAAAUCUGGGCUUUGGUGUUUGACGUUCCCUUUGCAAGUUUCAGAACGAAAACCAGUUCCUGAAAGAGUCAGUUUGGGAGGAUAAUCUCGCAGACCGAAGGCACCUCCUGUGUGCCAGACACAGCACUGAGAAGGAAGAAGAGGGCUGGGAUGUGUCUACACGAAGCCCUGGCUACAACCAUGGCUCUCUCAAAUCCUCCAGCAGGGUGACGAAGGCGGAAGAGCCAGAAACUUAGAGUGAUCCUCCAUUGCAGGGGCAGUCAAGGAAGACCCUGUUUCCGGAAGGAAAGAACGGGAAGGAAGAAGAACCUGGAGAGGAAGGAGGGUGAAGCAGAAGGAAGUUAAGCAGAGAUGAUCAAAACAUAGGUCAUCUCCGGCAAACAUCGGUGUCUCCCUGGGGGGAGGUCAGAGCACAGAAGUCCUUCUAGCCCCUCUUCUUUUCUAACAGUGCUUUGCCGGUCCCUCAUGUGACCUUGAUCUGUCCUUUAAAGUUUCUCGGUUGUGUAACAGGAAACUCUACGUGGCUUCAAAAGUCAAAAGGGUCGAAGUGAAUGUGAGAUUUCAGCCCAGCUUUCUACUAGGUCUGCUUCUCAAGUGUAUAGACGCUCAGACCAACCAUGGGCCACCAUGGUUGCAAACACCAGAAAAGGAACAUGGAGAGGUAAUGGCUACUUCUUAGAAGGUCCCCACCUCUUCCCAGAAGAAGCACGCAUAUCCCUCUCCUUUACUCGCCUAGCCCUCACUCUUCUUACCCUGUCUGUAACUCCUCAACCUGCUGGCUUAGAGGUUAACACCCGAGCUCCUCUUUUCUUUGGCUACUGAAUAAAGACCACUUUGACCCC